rnacentral:rRNA from 1 species
UUGGUGCUUGAAACUUUCCAAAAUUGAUUUUUAUGAUUCAGUUACCAGUAAAGAUUUUGGGAAACCAAUUUCGGAUCGGGAGUGGCCUACGCCCUAUCAGCUAGUUGGUAAGGUAAUGGCUUACCAAGGCGAUGACGGGUAGGGGGCGUGAGAGCGUGUUCCCCAACGAUGGCACUGAGAUACGGGCCUUACUCCUACGGGAGGCUGCAGUCGAGAAUCUUCCACAAUGGGCGAAAGCCUGAUGGAGCGACGCCGCGUGUAUGAAGAAGUCCUUCGGGAUGUAAAGUACUUUUCUAAGGGAGCAAUUUUGAGUGUACCUUAGGAAUAAGGGGUUGCUAAACUCGUGCCAGCAGCAGCGGUAAUACGAGUGCCCCAAGCGUUGUCCGGAAUUACUGGGCGUAAAGCGUCUGUAGGGUGUUUAAUACGUCUUCUGUCAAAUUUCGAUGCUCAACAUCGAAACCGCAGGGGAAACGAUUAGACUAGAGAGCGUGAGAGGCUGAUGGAACUUAAGGAGUAGGGGUGAAAUCCGUUGAUACCUUAGGGAACACCAAAGGCGAAGGCAUUCAGCUGGUGCGUUUCUGACUCUGAGAGACGAAAGCGUGGGGAGCAAAAAGGAUUAGAUACCCUUGUAGUCCACGCCCUAAACUAUGAAUACUAGUUGUCUGAAGUAUCGACCCUUCAGGUGACGAAGCAAACGCGUUAAGUAUUCCGCCUGGGAAGUACGGUCGCAAGACUAAAACUCAAAGGAAUAGACGGGAGCUUGCACAAGCGGUGGAGCGUCUGGUUUAAUUCGACGACAAGCGUAGAACCUUACCAAGAUUUGAAAUUCUAAUGACAGUUCUGAGAAACCAGAAUUUUCUACAAGGACAUUAGAACAGGUGCUGCAUGGUUGUCGUCAGCUUGUGGCGUGAGUUGCUCCGUUAAUUCGGGUAACAAGCGCAACCCCUGUCGUCUGUUAUAUGUGUCAGACGAAACUGCCUCGUGAUACGAGGAGGAAGGUAGGGAUGACGCCAAAUCAGCAUGGCCCUUUGAUAUCUUGGGCAACACAGGCGCUACAAUGGCCAAUACAAUGGGUCGCUAAGCCGUAAGGUAGAGCCAAUCCCAUCAAAGUUGGUCUCAGUUCGGAUUGGGGUCUGCAACUCGACCCCAUGAAGUUGGAAUCGCUAGU